rnacentral:rRNA from 1 species
CCUACGGGAGGCAGCAGUGGGGAAUAUUGCGCAAUGGGCGAAAGCCUGACGCAGCGACGCCGCGUGAGGGAUGAAGUUCUUCGGAUUGUAAACCUCUGUCAGCAGGGAAGAACGGUCACUGUGCUAAUCAGCAGUGAAUUGACGGUACCUGCAAAGGAAGCACCGGCUAACUCCGUGCCAGCAGCCGCGGUAAUACGUAGGGUUCGAGCGUUAUUCGGAAUUACUGGGCGGAAAGCGCUCGUAGGCGGCAGGUCAAGUCAAGGGUGAAAUCCCCGCGCUCAACGUGGGAACUGCCUUUGAAACUGGCAAGCUAGAGUGUAGGAGAGGAUAGUGGAAUUCCAGGUGUAGGAGUGAAAUCCGUAGAUAUCUGGAGGAACAUCAGUGGCGAAGGCGACUAUCUGGCACAUAACUGACGCUGAGGAGCGAAAGCGUGGGUAGCAAACAGGAUUAGAUACCCUGGUAGUC